rnacentral:rRNA from 1 species
GACGUAGGUGGCGAACGUUAUCCGGAAUUAUUGGGCGUAAAGGGUGCGUAGGUGGCCUGACAAGUUAUUAGUGGUAAAUCGAGGCUCAACCUCGUGGAAACUGGUAAUACUGUCCGGCUCGAGUACAGGAGAGGUUAACGGAACUCUAUGUGGAGCGGUAAAAUGCACAGAUAUAUAGAAGAACAUCAAUAACGGCGAAGGCAGUUAACUAUUCUGUUACUGACACUGAGGCACGAAAGCAUGGGGAGCAAAACGG